GAAAAGGGACAAAGAUUGACAUCAAAGGAGCCGACAGUCGGACGGCCGUAAUAGCUCUGUCUCUGUUAUCAGCUGCUUUGGCUAUAAGCUUGAUUAUUAUAGCUUUCCUGAUUCAUAUCAUCAAGACUAAAUCGUGUGAUUCCAGCAAAGCUGCUGAAGUUCUGCAAACACAUCCUGCAGCAGAUCGACGACGCCAGCAGGUGAGAUACUUCAGAAAAGAUUCAACGAGAAUCAUUUGUUGGAAUAUUGUUUUCCUUUUUAAGUUUAUAGAAAUAUCUGCUCAAACUAUUUUUUUCUCAGGUAGCUGAUUUCUCACAAGUCAAAAGUUUGCCCUCAUGUUGCUGUUGAAACUAAACUUACGAUCAGUGUUGGGCUCGUUAUUGAAAAAAGGAAUAUAUUACUCAUUACUCUUUUUAAAAGUAAUAUAAUUACUUUACUCAUUACUCCCAACAGAAAAUGUUGUUUGUGCUUUGCGUGAUGAUGAUGCUCAGAGAGGGACGUAAGUGUACUCUCAAAUAUUCCUACACAUGUAAAGAACUAAAGUUUAACGUUGAAGAAGAGAGCAUGCACAAGUCUGUCAUCUCUUAUAUUUAUGUGACAGAAUGUCUUUCAGGAUGCAUGAAUCAUCCGUCCUUUGAUGAAAAGACUGCUGCAGUCGGAGACGAGGUUGAAAUGAAGUGUAAGCUUGACUCUACAGGAAGCUAUUUCUGGAUCCGCCUCGGUUCUGGAAACUUUCCUGAAUACUUAGGAAAAGCAAAUGGCUUGGAUGUGAAGAAUUCACGCAUUACAACUAUGGAACAACGAGAUAAGGGAGGAGAAUUUAUUCUGCGUAUGAGAAAAGCAGAGCUGAGGGAUACAGGAUUUUAUUAUUGUAUGAGAACAAAUCAACGAAACUUGACUUUUCUGACAGGAACAAACCUGACAGUUAAAGCAGCACAACCUGGAGACGCUGCAGUCCGUCCUCCUGAUCCGGUCGGUCCGGGAGACUCAGAGAAGAAGCAAACCUGUCCAGGAGAACACAGUGCGUGCUGCUUCAGAGCCGGAUCACAUCAGUCUCAUCCAAGAUGGAAUUUCACUCCAGAGAACAGUG